UCCUACGGGAGGCAGCAGUCGGGAAUCUUGCACAAUGGGCGAAAGCCUGAUGCAGCAACGCCGCGUGAGGGAUGAAGGCCCUCGGGUUGUAAACCUCUGUCGGAAGGGAAGAACGUAUUUCGGGCCAAUACCCCGGGAUACUGACGGUACCUUCAAAGGAAGCGCCGGCUAACUCCGUGCCAGCAGCCGCGGUAAUACGGAGGGCGCGAGCGUUAUUCGGAAUUAUUGGGCGUAAAGCGCGUGUAGGCGGCUGGGAAAGUCGGGUGUGAAAGCCCGGGGCUCAACCCCGGAAUUGCAUUCGAAACUACCCAGCUAGAGUCUCGGAGAGGAGGGCGGAAUUCCCGGUGUAGAGGUGAAAUUCGUAGAUAUCGGGAGGAACACCAGUGGCGAAGGCGGCCCCCUGGACGAUGACUGACGCUGAGACGCGAAAGCGUGGGGAGCAAACAGGAUUAGAUACCCCAGUAGUCCAAGCCG
rnacentral:rRNA from 1 species